GAAAUGUCACGCAGGUCAUCAGAGUACUGAACCCGCAGAAGCAACAACUGCGGAUGAGGAUCAAGUUGACGUACACCCACAAAGGCACUCCUGUGCAAGACUUGGCCGAGGUCAACAAUUUUCCCCCGCAGGCCUGGCAGUGACAUGCUGCCCGCUCUCCCUCUUAAAAGACCCCCACCAAGGGAACUAUGGGAAAGAGUCUCCCCCUCCCUGUCCCCAUCCAGGCCUCCCUUGUGACAUCGCCCGCAGACCGACUGCUGCCCCCGGGGUUACAUGGGAGCCAGUGGUACCACCUUGACCCACAGAAAACCAACCAGACGAUGAUGGUAUGAAGACCAUGCCGACGACUGUGACAAUGAUGAUGCAUCAUCCGAAAUAUCAGAGCAAAACAUAUCAGAAUGCUAAUUACUGUCCUUUUCUUUUUUUUAAUUAUUAUUAUUUGGUCUAACCCCCCUCCCCUCCACCUUCAUUCAGCACUAAAGCCUCUACUUCCUCUCGCACACACACAUACUUGCACGCACUCACUUGCCAUUUUGCUGCCCGCUUUGGCCACUUCCUGCCAUCCUAGCCAGGAUGUCACCUUUCCACUCUCAAGGAGUCAUUUGGUAUGAGCACUUGUGUGACCCCUCUCGUGUUGUGAUUCAUAUUUUUAAUCUAACCCUUAAUGGGCCGGAGUGUCUCUUCUUUUUCUUUUUUUUUUUAAAGGAAACAUCUGCAACGGCUAGAAGAAUAUGUCUAAAUGUGCACCUUAUUCUGUGUCCACCUUUUGGAAUUAGGAAAAUGCCUCUUUUGGUAUGGGGCUGGGAAAUUAUUUUUCCAUUCCUCUCUCUAAUUUAUCCAGUAAGGUGUCAUUUAAAUAAUUCCCCAAUAUGGAUCCAGACCCCUGGUUAUUUUAUUUGGUGAAACAAAAACAUUCUCCAAGACAUUAAUCAUGGCUGAAAAGGUUGCCCUUCCAGAUGAUCCCCAUUUAUUUCACCUCCGAGUGCUAGUUUUGACCUGACAAUUGAGCGAGACGUGGCCUCAGCCAGAGCUCAGACCGCAGGUCUAAGGCCCUCCAGAUAGCCAUAGAUGACUGGGGUCUAUGACUGACCUGUGCAUCUCUGCAGAGCACACCACCUACACCAAAGUGUUGGUGAGCAGCCCACUCAGCUACUGAAAAGCUUUCUGACCACUCGGCAAGUGUUUGCCUUUGUUUGGAUUGAAAUUAGGUUUCCCAGGGUGACGCAUUACCUCCAGCAGAGGGCUCUUUGGAGGGUUUCAGAGAUGCAGUCUCGUAGUGUUUCAUUUAAAAUAUUUGGUUAGCUUAGGUGAUAACUUUAUUAUUAAUAAAGCAUCUUGAUACACAGCCUGUCAGAACGGUUAUCCAAAUGCAUCAUGGGCAAACACGAAAUAGAUUGCCCUGAGGUUUACUGGUUUGUGUACAUAAUGGAUCAGUACAACUUGGCAUGAAAUUUGAUUCAUCGCUUUGGUUACUCACGCCAGUCUCACAAAGACAUUUGCAGUUGUUUUAAUCUGGUUUAGACAUUGUACACAUAUACGUUGCGAAUGUAGUUACAUGCACUGAAUGCAUUUUUUUUCUUAAGGAGUCGUAGGCAUGUUAUUUUGUAGUUGAUUGUCAUGGACAGCACUUUUUUUUCUGGUGUUCAUUUCUAUAGGACUUUUCCUCAUUUUUUUUCUUUUGUCUUUGUUCUCUUUUAGGUAGGUUGUUUGAAAUGAUGCCUGUGUUUUUUUUUUUUUUUUUUUUUUUAAAUCAAUGUGCCUUUUGCCGUAACUGGUAGACAUGAAGCUCUCAAGUCUUGUUGAUGUCUAUAAGAUCGAGCUGUGGGUUCACAUCCCAUCAAAGGUGAAGGUGUGUUUUUUUUUUUUUUUUAAACCACUGACCUUUCAUUUCAGUCCUUUUCACUUGCAUCCGUUUUGUUUUCUCAGAGGCGCUUUAAGAGAAAUGAAUUCAGUGAACUACUCCUAGGUUUGAAAGCCUCAGGCUGUAGUUAAACCCCGGCCGGAGCUGGCCUUUCUCUUACUGACUGUGGUGUUUGAAAACAUUAACCUGCAUACCUCACAAUGUGUCACCAUUUUUGUUGGUAAUACUCAAACAGCGGCAUGAUGGUCACGUGUAAUCACUCGCAUACCUUUGGGAUGUCAACAGGGCACCCGCUCUGCACAGUCUUUGCUUCCAUCACUAACUAACUCGACUGCCUAGCAUCUUUUGCUUUCUUGGGAGUGUUUCAAUCCAGUUGGAUUAUUGAUUCACCUAUGCCACAGUGUCUAACAUUUGUGACCAAAUCAGAUUUUUUUUCUUUUGGAAAUAUUUUUGAGCGAUGCUAUGUGUAUAUGGAGAAAACAAAAACAGACUUCCUUCUAUUAGUAAGAGUAUUCUCUUUUCGUUUGUUUUCUUUUGAUUUGGCUACCAUGGCCUUUUCUGUACAUAUUGAGGGCUUUUAAGAUAAACUUGUCUUGCUCAUCCUUUUCUUUUCUUUUUUUAGAUACCAACAUUUUUCUAAGACUUCCUUCCAGAACUGCACAGAGUCUAUGGUCUUAAGAUCUUAGUCCAAGUCCUGGUCUAAUUUAAAGACUUACCUGUCUCAAUGUCUUUCAAAAGCAAAAUGUAAUAUCUGCUGCCUGUAUAUUGUACAUAAUUGUAAAACAAACAAAAGACCAGAUCAAAUAAAUUCCCAUUUGAAGACCUGUUAACAUUAGCUAGGCACUAAAAUUGUAUACAUGUAAAAAAAAAAAAAAAAAAUAACAAUCCUGAAAGGCAACAUGUAUGAGCGGUGUUAUUACUUUCUCUGUCUCUCCUGGCUGCAUAUUACUUUCUUUUCUUUUUUUUUUUUUCUUGUGCUGUCUGGACAGCUGUGGGUGCUGCAUGAUGGGCUAAAGGGACGCAGAGCUGUGCUGUGCAGCGACACAGGCGUGUGUGUGUGUGUGUGUGUGUGUGUGUGUGUGUGUGUGUGUGUGUGUGUGUGUGUGUGUGUGUGUGGGGGCCAGUGUAUUAGCAUGGUCCUCUUUAUAGAAGCAGAUCUCGAAGUGGAGUGGGCCCAUUGCCAGUGGUGCAGCAGCCCUCACCCUCCGCCUCAUUGUGUUGCUUACUGUGGCGAACACGCUGGGGCUACUGACUCCAGACCAGCCCACAUGCUAAUUAAUACCAACCCGCAGAGCAUGGGAAAAGAGAAAAAAAGUUAGAUUCCCCUUUUGAGGCCCAUCUCCCCACUAUUCCACCGCAAUUUGACUGAUAGCCAUAGAUUCUGCUUUGUGUUGAUAAAACCCAAGGGAUGUUCUUGGUUAUUGAACUAUGCUGCUGAAUGAUGAAGACUGAUUUUUCCCUUGACAGAGCAGUGAGUGGUGUCAGUUAUGCCAAACAGGAGGAUACAAACUCCUUGAGACGAUCAUAUCAUUCAAUGGGUCCAUGUGUCACUGUACAAUCACCAUGGUUUGACUCACUGGCUCAUCCCCUUGGGGGAUGUUGAAUACCUUGAGCUUGUCUUAUUGGGAUGGCAUACUUUUUUUUUUCUUUUUUUGUGGGGGGGGCAAAACACAAAGGCCAUAUGAGCUGUCAACAACUUGGCUCUCAUGUCUUCUUAGUGGCAGUUGGCUAAAUUGAUAUUACCUCCUUAUUUUCUGAUUUUCUACUGUAGUUGUGCAAUGGUGAUUAUCCACAUUGAGGCUGUUUUUGCAGCUGGGGGUCAGUGCUUUUUAAUAUUUGAGAGGGAGUAAAUGGACAUAUGAGUGUUUGUUUGUUGUGUGCUUCAGGCUAUGCUCCACCAGGGGGAGUGCUCAUUGAUGAAAGGUUUUGGGAAGGGAAUACUGGAAAGUUGUCUAUUGGUUUUGCCCCAUGUUCUCUUUUUUGUUACCUUUUCACCAACGAAGUUGGUGACUUCCUCCCUGCUUUAAAUCCCCCGAUUUAUGAAUGAUUUAUAAAGAUUUAGUGUCUGCCUUUUAAUUAUGAAUAAUGAAGGGUGAAUAUCUAUACAACUGUAGUUGACACUGCAAAUGAAUAUUCAAGAGAGAUCCUUUGGAAAUCUGUGCUGCUGAUAAAGCUUUGUUUUUUUUCUCUUUUUUUGGGUUAAUCAGCCUAUAUAAUUGUGUGUAUCUGUUGUGUUGAUGCGAAUGUGUGUGAGUAAAAUGUGUAUAUGUGUGCGGGUGAGUGUGUUGUCAUGUCUGACAGCACCUCCUCACCUGUUUGUGUGUGGGUGAGUGUGUGUGUGUGUGUGUGUGUGUGUGUGUGUGUGUGUGUGUGUGUGUGGUGGCUGCAACGAGUUUCUUUUGAUUCUCAGCUGCAUGUGAGAAUCGUUUGUAAAUAGUCAUUUCUACUCUUUAUGUAAACUUCUUGUGGAAAAAAAAAUGCAAGUUCUAAAUAAUCAGUAAAUUCACCACACCUCCUUUGGCGGCUUGGAACUGACAUCCUUGUACAUUUGGACAUGUUCUGUAAAGAAGAUAUAUAUACAUAUAAAUAUAUAUAUUAAAAAAAAAAAAUACUGUCCAAUGCAACGUUCAGCUUUUUACUCUGGAUGGGGUUGGGUCACAUCGUUCAUAUGGAUGUAGUUGUCUUUGACUUCACCCCUGUUUGGCCGGUGCUUGCUCCAUGCAUAGAGCGCUUGGACAAACACCUUUUCUCAUGCUCCCUUUUUGUGAACUGAAGGGGAAAAAAAAGAUACCCGUUGUUCUUUUGGAAGUGAAACUCUACAUGUAGCCCUGAAAAGAUUUUACGCUGGCUGUACUACCACAUUUGAUUUGUGAGGGAGGAAAACUGGUUUCCCCAUGAUGGGAUUGACAUAUCGAACUGAAUCACAGUCCCGUGUCUUCAAGGAGAGUGUGUUGGACUGAAAAAUAUAAUAAUAAUAAUGAUAAUGAUGAUGAUGAUGAUGAAUAAAAUGAGAGGCUGUAAACUAUUAGAUGGGAUAUUUUAGACUUAUGCUGUGUAUUAUUGUCUUUGGGUUGGAGAUAUGAUCAAGAAAAUAAUAAAAAAGUCAAAAUGAA